CGUAGACUCAAAUCAUCAAAGUGAAACCCGGAGAACAAGAGCAAGGACAGAAAUAAUUCAAAAGAUAUUUAUGAAAAUCCUGACAAAAUCCAAGAUGAUGCGAAUUAUGAACAAGUGGAAAAUGAACAGUCGAGGUAUAAAGGUCUCGAAAAGACUGGGGAGGAAGAAUAUGAUGAUCACUUAUAUAGCCAUCUAAAUGAAGUACACAAGGACUACGUGAAUCAGAAGGAAACUGGAAUUUAAGGGGGGCUCUGGUCCGA